rnacentral:rRNA from 1 species
GACGAACGCUGGCGGCGUGCCUAAUACAUGCAAGUUGAGCGCUGAAGGUUGGUACUUGUACCAACUGGAUGAGCAGCGAACGGGUGAGUAACGCGUGGGGAAUCUGCCUUUGAGCGGGGGACAACAUUUGGAAACGAAUGCUAAUACCGCAUAAAAACUUUAAACACAAGUUUUAAGUUUGAAAGAUGCAAUUGCAUCACUCAAAGAUGAUCCCGCGUUGUAUUAGCUAGUUGGUGAGGUAAAGGCUCACCAAGGCGAUGAUACAUAGCCGACCUGAGAGGGUGAUCGGCCACAUUGGGACUGAGACACGGCCCAAACUCCUACGGGAGGCAGCAGUAGGGAAACUUAGGCAAUGGACGAAAGUCUGACCGAGCAACGCCGCGUGAGUGAAGAAGGUUUUCGGAUCGUAAAACUCUGUUGGUAGAGAAGAACGUUGGUGAGAGUGGAAAGCUCAUCAAGUGACGGUAACUACCCAGAAAGGGACGGCUAACUACGUG